rnacentral:misc_RNA from 1 species
AAGUCGUAACAAGGUUCCCGUAGGUGAACCUGCGGAAGGAUCAUUAGUCAUUCAUUCAGGGAGAGAUAGUAGCAGCUUCUAAUUGAGGCGAGUUACUCCUCUCCUGGUGUUUGCUACACACUUUGAUAUUAACAACCCCCCAGUUGCUUUGGUAGGUGUCUUCAAGACUCUACCAUUGGACCAUUAAUUGAACCUGAUUAUAAUUGUGAAAUUUUGUCUUAACAUUAUAAGUUAUUAAAACUUUCAACAACGGAUCUCUUGGUUCUG